AACACUCGCUUGUUUGAACUUUAAUGAAAACGGCGCUGGCAACAGGACCGGCAGAUUCUGUAGUAAUUUGAAUGUUGAGGCCGGGAGGCGGGCCUAGAAGAUGUAAAGGGUUUGUCAGACGGGAAAUUGUCGUGCAGCUCCUCGUUAGUAUAGUGACCUUUUGAAAUCCCCUGGCAUUUUCAGGAUGAGGAGAAAUUAGCCCACCUGUGCUGCUCACCUAAGGAUGAUGUCUCCAAAUUCCUGUUCAGUGUCUGAAGAUCCCCCACAAGCCAAGAACAAAACAAAACAAAAAAGAAAUUCAAUUUAAACCCGGGAUAGGAUCUGAAUAGGCGUUUCUCCAGACAAGCAAUCUGCAGCCUGACUGAAGGCAUUGAGUCCAGGGUUGACGACAUGGCAGCAGCUGGAGGGUGAGGAUGAGAAGAAAGGAAGCAUCAGCCUGAGUGAAGGGAAAGUAGAAUCUAAACUCCUUGAGGGCAGAGACGUAGCCUGGAUAAGGCCUGCCCUGAAGAAGGCACUUGAGAAUGGACCACUCACUAAGGAUGGAUCAAGGUUGUUGCAUCAGCCUGAGAAGCAAGCUGGCUCAAAAGGAUGGCCCUGUCACCAGCUAAACAGAGGAUAGAGCCUGUGGGAGAAGUUGUCCUUGGAGGGUGGCCCCUGUGAGGGGAGCAGAACAGAGCGGCUCAGUAAGCAUCCUGGGGACCUGAAGCAUCA